AUGGGAACACGGGUAGCGGCCAGCGGAGAACCACACCUCCCUGCCGCCNNNCAGGAUUGGAGGACUGUGGAGGAGAGAAAGAUCGACGACUGGCUCCCGGUCACAGCAUCGAGGAACGGCAAGUGGUGGUACUCGGCCUUCCACAAUGUCACAGCCAUGGUCGGUGCCGGCGUGCUCACCCUACCCUAUGCCAUGUCCGAGCUCGGCUGGGGACCCGGCGUCGCGGUGAUGACCCUGUCGUGGAUCAUGACGCUGUACACGCUGUGGCAAAUGGUGGAGAUGCACGAGAUGGUGCCCGGGAAGCGGUUCGACAGGUAUCACGAGCUGGGGCAGUACGCGUUCGGCGAGACGCUAGGGCUGUGGAUCGUCGUGCCGCAGCAGCUCGUUGUCGAGAUCAGCUUGGACAUCGUGUACAUGAUCACCGGCGGCAAGUCACUCAAGAAGUUCCACGACCUCGUCUGCGACGGCAGGUGCAAGGACAUAAAGCUUUCCUACUUCAUCAUGAUCUUUGCUUCCGCCCAGUUCGUCAUCUCCCAGCUCCCCAACUUCGACUCCAUCGCCACCAUCUCCCUUGCUGCCGCCCUCAUGUCGAUCUGCUACUCGACGAUUGCUUGGGGCGCCUCGGUGGACAAGGGGAAGGCGGACGGCGUGGACUACAGCCUACGGGCAUCCACUACCUCGGGGAUGGUGUUCGACUUCCUGGGAGGCCUGGGACAGAUGGCCUUCUCCUUCUCAGGCCAUAACGUCGUGCUGGAGAUCCAGGCCUCCAUCCCGUCCACGGCGGACACGCCGUCCAAGAAGCCCAUGUGGAAGGGCGUGAUCGUGGCCUACACCAUCGUCUUGCUCUGCUACUUCCCGGUCGCUUUCGUCGGUUAUUGGGCCUUCGGCAAUAGCGUCGACGACAACAUCCUCAUCACCCUCAACACGCCCAAGUGGCUCAUCGCCGCCGCCAACAUGAUGGUCGUCGUCCAUGUCAUUGGUAGCUACCAGGUUUAUGCGAUGCCGGUGUUCGACAUGAUGGAAAUGGUGCUGGUGAGGAAGAUGCGUUUCUCUCCCGGUUGGAAGCUCCGUUUGGUUUCUCGGAGCCUCUUUGUUGCGUUCACAAUGUUCGUAGGCAUCACCUUCCCCUUCUUCGGUGGGCUUAUCGGAUUCUUCGGCGGGCUCGCCUUUGCGCCCACAACUUAUUUCCUUCCCUGCAUCAUCUGGCUCACGGUUUACAAGCCCAGGGUAUUCAGCCUCUCAUGGUGCACCAACUGGUUCUGCAUCGUUGGUGGGGUGCUGCUGAUGGUGCUUGGGCCCAUUGGAGGGCUAAGACAGAUCAUCAUGGAGGCCAAGAUAUACCAAUUCUACUCGUAG
rnacentral:rRNA from 1 species